GGUCCCAUCGUCUAGCGGUCUAGGACACCGCCCUCUCACGGCGAAAACAGGGGUUCGAUUCCCCUUGGGACUACCA
rnacentral:tRNA from 1 species